rnacentral:lncRNA from 1 species
AAAAAAGUCCAACUCCUAGAGAGUUCCCCAUGAACCUGCAUCUCUCCACCGUCCCUAAAAACCUUACCGACUUUACCAAAAAAAUAUGAUUUUUUUUGUCCAUCAAUCUGCGUCCAAAUCAGAAGGCAUGAACCAACUACAAAGCCCACACUCUGCUGCUACCGCAACAUCAAAUUAGACACAGUCAAACCCAGAUCAUCGAAUCGAAUAAAGCCUGAAUUGCUUGUUGCUGCACCACGAAUCUGAAUCUCACAAACCCAAUUCGUAUUUUGACGAAGUCCCAGUUAGAGGCGCAUGCUUGGAUCUAAUCUCACAAACCCAGUUGGAGUUGCGGAGGCGCAUGCUUGGAGACGACGAGGCAUUGGAGACGGGAG